CAGGAGAUUUUCCAUGUCUACUCUGGUGCCAUUACUGGAAGAUCCUUCCAUUUUCUACAAGGGAUUUUUACCUAUAUUGUUGAGAAGUGGAAUCCCCUUUGGUAGCUCUGUACCUUCAGCUUCUCCCUCUGUGGUAUCCAUUCCCUGCCACAACUAUAGAAUCUGCAAUCUGAUAUCUGAGAGUGACCAAAAGAAGAGAAUAAAUGUCCAGCCUCCUUGUCACAAGGCAGGACAACAUUAUGUUGUUCCUUAGGCUCCAGAGCUCCCAUGAAUCUUGCUGAGGGAAAAAAUGACAUAACCACUAAAAAGAAUGACUGCUAAAGAUCAGGACAAGACUUUGACCAGUGGAAGUCAGGAACAGCAAAUAAACAUUUUCCUCAUCUCUUCCCACCAUACUAACUGUCCUGAGAUGCAAAAGUCCAUAAGGUCUCUCCUAAGACUGUCCCACAAAAUGUAGCAAUUAGUUAUUCUUGCUGUCAAGCAGUGCUCAGCUCAUAUUAUACCUUAUAUUUUCUCUUCCUCAUUCUCUGUAUCACUCAUCUUUUCUGUCAUUUCUAGUUCCCUGUAUUUUAUUCCACAAUAUAUUAGUAGCAAAUAAACUUUUGUGCUUUCUGAGAAAA